AGUAUAUAAGGUGCCAAGGGGUGGGAGUUGGACUCAGCUACACUAGUAAUGAAAAAGCGUUUUAUAAGUGUUAUAGCACUGUGACCCCAGAUGGCGCUGUGGAGUCCUGUCUUUUGCCAAUGUGAUUUCCCACUAUGAGGUUUACAACACGUUUCCUGAACUGCUUCUUUUGAUGUUUCUAGAUCCAGCCUUAGGCUUGCACACAAGCUACUGACCACUCUGUUCAGUACAAAACAUACUUGGAGCUUUUGAGUUUCUACACAAAUUCCCCAUACUUCAAGAGGACUGUUCCCAUACUUCAAGAGGAGCGCUCAGGAAACUGACGCUAAAAGGACUGUUCCCAUUACCUGUGCUGAUGCUGUUCAGGCACUUUUCUCUGUCUCUCUUAGCUACAGAAAAGGGUAAAGUUUCCCAGGUCAGAAACAACUCAUUGCCUUCUUUCUGGGCCCCUCUUCCUAUGAAGACGAGACUCUCAUUAUCAGCUCUUGACUACGCAACACACCAUGGCUGCAUUAACAUUUGGGGGACAGACGGGUUCAAUUGUUAUUAGAAAUGCUGG
rnacentral:lncRNA from 1 species